rnacentral:lncRNA from 1 species
AUAUCGUCUCUCUACAAUCACAUACAAAAGCAUACCUUUCCAAUGAACACUAUACUCCUUAUUUAAUAUCGUCUAACGAUAUGAAAUGAAUAACUGCAAAUACUCUCUUUCAAUCCAAAGGUUUCUUUUAUUCUUCUUCUGUUCCCUCCUCUUCUGUUACUUCCUCACUCUCUUCCUUUGCUUCUUUACCCCUCCUCUUACGGUAAUAUGCCUUUCGGUACCUAUCAAUACUUCCCCCAACGAAAUCCAGCUUGCCCUCAAGCUGGUAAUCAGGAAAAUGAGUGAUGAAAUCCUGAUAAUACAGCCAUGAAUUUUCCAAUGAAGAUUUCCCAACCCACUUAACCAAUAACUCCAGUUCACCCUUUGCAUCAUAACGCUUCUCCAAUACAUCUUCUGGACUAAUCGGUUCUGCAGCCUCCGUGAUACUCCCUGGUGGUAACGCAUCACAUUGCUCCUGCGAACCCAAGGCUAACUUCAAUUGGGAAAUAUGGAACACAGGAUGGAUCUUUGCAGCUGGAGGUAAUUGUAACUUAUAAGCUGUGUUUCCAAUGCGCUCCAACACUUUGUAUGGGCCAUAGAAUUUCGCUGCAAGUUUCUGACAAACUCUAUGAGCCACAGUCUUCUGACGAUAGGGUUGUAGCUUAAGAAAUACCAUGUCACCAACCGCCAACUGAACAUCUCUCCUUGACUUAUCGGCUUGAUUCUUCAUUAUCUCCUGAGCACGAGUAAGUGUUUGUUUUAAACUGAUCAAUACCUCAUCCCUUUCCAAUAAUGCCCGCUCCAGCUCAAAGUUCUUUGUAGAACCCUGUUCAAAACGCAGAAUAGGAGGAGGAUCACGGCCAUAGACCACUUUGAACGGAGUUGUCUGAAUCGACUUGUGAAACGUCGUGUUAUACCAUAGCUCUGCCCAUGCCAUAUAAUUGUGCCAAGUCCGAGGGUGAGAAGACGAGAAACAUCUCAAAUAUGUUUCCAAACAACGGUUGAGCACCUCAGAUUGACCAUCCGUCUGAGGGUGAAAUGCCGUACUAUACUGAAGCUUAGUCCCAGCCAAACGGAAAGCCUCUGUCCAAAAAGAACUCAGAAAGAUCCUGUCUCUAUCUGACGUGAUGCUCUUCGGAAAACCAUGUAAACGGACGAUCUCAGACACGAACUUCUUGGCUACAUCCAGUGCAGAGAACGGGUGUUUAAGGCUGAUGAAAUGAGCAAAUUUGCUUAAACGAUCGAUCACCACCAAUAUGCUGUUAUAACCAUUAGACCCCGGAAGCCCCUCAAUGAAGUCCAUAUUGAUGUCUUCCCAAAUCAUCUCUGGAAUCGGUAAUGGUUGAAGCAAACCGGCUGGAGAGAGAGUUGAAUGUUUGUGUGUUUGGCAAAUACCACAAGCCGCCACAUACUCUUGCACCUGCUUGUACAUUCCAGUCCAAUAAAACGAACACUGAACUCUCUUCAAAGUUUUCAAAACACCUGAAUGACCACCGAAUUUACUGUCAUGAGCCUCUCGCAAUAUCACUGAAAUGAAUUUUGAAGUCUUAGGAAUCACCAAUCUUUUCUUUGACCACAAUCUCCCUUCUAUCACUGUAUACUUCUUAGAGUGCAAUUCUCCUUUCUGAAUCUGCAUGACCAUUGUGCUUAACUUCGUAUCGUCUUGUAUUUCCUUAUACAAAUCUUCCCAUUGUAAAGCUGUUGGGACUGUCAAUGAUAGUAACAGUGAAGAGACAGACAUACUCCGAGACAAGCCAUCUGCUGCCUUGUUUUCCGGUCCCGGUUUAUAGAAGAUGUCAAAGUCAAAUCCCAAUAGCUUUGUUAACCACUUUUGAUACUCCAAAUUUACCUCUUUUUGCUCCAACAAAAACUUCAAGCUCCGCUGAUCCGUGUGAACAUGAAACUUUCUACCAAGUAGAUAGUGUUUCCACUUUCUCACUGCCAUCACGAUAGCCAUCAGUUCUCUUUCAUAAGCUGGUUUCAGUUGCUCCCGUGCUGUCAGAGCAUGGCUAAAGAAAGCGAUGGGCCUCUUGUUCUGCAUAAGCACAGCGCCUAACCCGAAUCCUGAGGCGUCUGAUUCGAUCACAAAAACUUGACUGAAGUCUGGUAACGCAAGUACUGGUGCCGUUACCAUUGCAUGUUUCAACUUUUCAAAAGCUUGCUGAGCUUCAGUAGGCCAAGAGAACUGAUCCUUCUUCAGCAGUGUGGUCAAAGGACGAGCAAUACUUCCAUAAUCUCUUAUAAACUUCCGAUAAUAUCCAGUUAACCCAAGGAAUCCUCUCAACUGCUUAACCACCUUGGGUAUAGGCCAUAUAUUCAUAGCAUUAGUCUUUGCAGAAUCAGUAGCUACGCCAUUAGCUGAUAUUAUAUGGCCUAAGUAUUCCACACUCGGUACUGCAAACGUGCAUUUCUUUUGAUUAGCAUAUAAAUUCUGCUCCCUCAACACUUCUAACACUUGUCUUAGAUGAUUCUUGUGAUCUGACUGAUUCUUGCUGUAGAUCAAUAUGUCAUCAAAGAACACAAGGACAAAACGGCGGAGGAAUGGUUUAAACACCUUGUUCAUGAGUGCCUGAAAAGUGGCUGGAGCGUUGGUCAAACCAAAUGGCAUGACCAGGAACUCGUAAUGUCCUUCCACUGUCCGGAACGCUGUCUUAUGAAUGUCUGCUUCCACCAUCCGUAUUUGGUGAUAGCCUGAGCGUAGAUCAAGCUUUGUAAAGACCGUAGCCCCAUGUAACUCGUCGAGUAACUGGUCUAUGACAGGAAUAGGGUACUUGUCUAACACGGUUACUCUGUUCAAAGCCCUGUAGUCCACGCAAAAACGUAGAGAACCGUCCUUCUUCUUCACUAGUAGUACAGGGCUGGAGAAAGGACUGGUGCUUGGUCGUAUGAUGCCCGUAGAUAACAUAUCAUUCACCAUCUGUUCCAUAGCCACCUUGCUGGCAUGAGGAUACCGAUAAGGUCGAACAGAUACUGAAGAUACUCCUGGUUGUAAGUUGAUUGCGUGUUCUUGUCCACGAAAUGGUGGUAAGGCAGUUGGUACUGCGAACACAUCAACAAACUCCUGGAGUAUUUGGGAGAAUUGCAAACGAACUUCUGGAAAUGGAGAUGUUGCUAUAGAAGAAGCAAGAAGCACUUCCCUUCCUAUCUUGCAGCUUGUAUAGACCGGUUUCAAUGACUUGAAAGAGAACUUAGUGCCGUGUAGCUCUUUCUCGCCUAACAAGGUCACUUUGUUUCCUUCAUAGACAAACGAAAGGACCUGCUCCUUCCAGUCCACUUCGCAAAUGCCUAAGGUUUCAAGCCAUUGAAUACCAAGUAUCACAUCUACAUUCCCCAGUUCAAGAGAGAUGAAGUCACUUGUGAAGUUGGUUUGAUUUAGUUGGAAUGAAACUGAUCUGCAUACUCCCAUUGCAUUCACAGUCACUCCAUUACCCAACAACACGUCCAAGCUACUGUCAGCAUAAACUUUCAGUCGUAACUUGUCCACAACCUCAGGUGAGAUGAAGUUAUGUGAUGCUCCGCUAUCAAGCAUGACAAUCACCUCUCUGUUAUUUAUAAAACCUCUCAUCUUCGUAGUCUUCGGAGAGUCAAUGCCCAAAUAAGAAUUCAGUGAUAACGUGUGUAGUACUUGCGGAUUCUGUUGUUCUUGUUGAUCUUCCUCUUCGUUUGAGUCAAUAACCUCAAGCUCUAAUCCGUUGAUCACUGUAAGUACUCUUAGCAUUCUAUUUGGACAUUCCAUUCUGUGAGCUGGAGACCAAGGAGCUUUGCAUUUGAAACAGAUCUUCUCUUUUCUCAUACGGUCAAGUUCUGCAUCUGAAUAUUGUUGCCUUGGUCUCAAUGUGUUUCGUUGUGGUGCUUAAUUUUCUUUGUUAGCUCCAGCUUCUAGCCGUGGUUGAUCGCCGCUUUGCUUUGGAGUGAAACUUGCAGUUUUAACAUUAUGUGAUUGGCGCUGAUAUGCUUUUUGAAUGUCACCUCCUGCCGCUGAUCCAAUCACCUUGCAGAAAGUAGUUUUCUGCAUCUUCAACACUGCUAGUUUAUGAUUCGUUAAACCCACUGGUUCCUUCAUUCUGAUUAUCUCUGGUUUCAAUCCAUUGAAGAAAACCUUUAUCAAAUUUUUCUCAUCAAUUCCUGUUACUUGAUUUCUCAGAGCCUCAAACUCGUUGACAUAGUCUACAAUGUCGCCUUCUUGUUGUAGACAGAACAAUCUCGCUGCAAGAUCAUUAUCAAUUGGACCAGCAAAUCUCUCUAACAUCCUUUCUGUAAACUGAGCCCAACUCAGAAAUGGAUCACUGAGCAUUUCUCCGUUGAACCAAUUGAGAACAGGACCCUCCAAGCUCAAUGAUACCAACUGUAAUUUAUCCUCUUCGUCAUAGUUACCAAUUCUGAAGAACCUCUCCACCCUGGAAAUCCAGUCAAAUGGCAAAGGACCAGCAAACACAGGCAUAUCCACUUUUCUCAACAUCUUAUCUCGAUUUGUUAACGCAUUGUGGAUUCCCCGAUAACCUAAAUGAGUUUGAUCCAGAUCUGAAGUUGCGAUCGGUACCUGAUCAUGAUGAUCCAUUGAAGAAGACGCAAUCCCUUUGCCAGGCCGUUGAUUGAUCACAGAACUAGCUUCGAUCCGAGCUAGUGUGGCCGUUAUCGAGGACAUCUGACUCUCCAAUGCUCCCAAUCUGACCGCUGAUUCCGAACCCAUCGUCGCGAUUUGAUUCUCCAACGAUCCCAGACGCUCCGAAGUAGCUUUGUCAGCUCGCGCAAGCUUAUCGCAACCGAUUCGCAUAUACUCGAUUUCAUCUUCCAUUCGUCGCCAAACCGUCUCUUUCUGCAUCCCGAAGGUCGUCGUCGCCUCCGAUUCAACUCCGAUCCCCGUAUCUUCCAUCAAUGCUGUUACACGUGAGCUCGAUCAAGUUUCGCCGAACCAAUGAUAGACUGAAGUUAUCUAUUACUUGUAAAUCCCAAACUCGUGUAUUGAAUAAGAAUGAAGAAGUGUUUACAGCUUUGUAUCUCAACAAUGAAUCACUCUCAUCACGAGUUCAUCAUCAUCGACAGUCUCAUAGCGACUGGAAACAGAGGACUCAUCUCGUCUCUCUACAAUCACAUACAAAAGCAUACCCUACCAAUGAACACUCUACUCCUUAUUUAAUAUCGUCUAACGGUAUGAAAUGAAUAACUGCAAAUACUCUCUUUCAAUCCAAAGGUUUCUUUUAUUCUUCUUCUGUUCCCUCCUCUUCUGUUACUUCCUCACUCUCUUCCUUUGCUUCUUUACCCCUCCUCUUACGGUAAUAUACCUUUCGGUACCUAUCAAUACUUCCCCCAACGAAAUC